UGCAAAUGCAAGUUCAUUCUUCGCCACGAGGUGCCGCUUUUGGAGCGGUAAAAAUAGCGGUUUCCCUGGUAACGCUGUACACAAAGCAGCACUGUGCUCACAAACGUUGCUUUAUCAGCAUUACAGGCAUAAUAUAAUGAAAAUUAGUCCAAUCACCGCAGAUUAGAAAGGGUUUGAGAAAAUGAGUUAAAAGAAUCGUUUGGAAGUCGUUGAUCAAAGAAAGUUUACCUCCACUAGCUGCAGCAGCGUGGGCUCCUGCUCUGAGUGGAGGAGCAGCUCACUUUCCCGAUCACGGAAAUUGUCCCGGUAAUGCCUUCUGUUGUAGGGGACCCUCUGGUUGUGCGGGACCCCAAUCUUGUUUUCCAACAAUCGAAACUGCAGACUCUGGAAGCCUGAAGCAGGGUUUUGAAGAUCAGUAUCCGUGUGCACUGGAUGCAGAUGGAACGUUUUAAACAAUGGCAGUCAACACGAAUGGUUAUGUGUGCCCCCCGGAGCUACCAGAAAGCUGACGCGCUGAUUGAAGCUCUGAGUGUCUGGUGAAGGUGAGCUGAGGUGUUGCAUUGUGCUGGGAUCUGGAGCCCCGUGGCAAUACGUCUGACCCUGACAGGUGC